rnacentral:rRNA from 1 species
UACGAAGGGGGCUAGCGUUGUUCGGAAUUACUGGGCGUAAAGCGCUCGCAGGCGGAUUAAUAAGUCGGGGGUGAAAUCCCGGGGCUCAACCUCGGAAUUGCCUUCGAUACUGUUAAUCUCGAGUCCGGGAGAGGUGAGUGGAAUUCCUAGUGUAGAGGUGAAAUUCGUAGAUAUUAGGAAGAACACCAGUGGCGAAGGCGGCUCACUGGCCCGGUACUGACGCUCAUGAGCGAAAGCGUGGGGAGCAAACAGG